rnacentral:rRNA from 1 species
AACGAACGCUGGCGGCAGGCUUAACACAUGCAAGUCGAACGAGCUGUGCGCUUCUGUCCCCGCUGCUAUUGGUGCCCGGUUGAGUAACACGUUUGAAUUUGCCCUUUCGUCCGGAAUAACCAACUGAAACUUUGUCUUAUACCGUAUACGCCCUUCGGGGGAAAGAUUUAUCGCUAAAGGAUUAGCCCGCGUCUGAUUAGGUAGUUGGUUAGGUAAUCGCCCACCAAGCCGACGAUCAGUAGCUGGUCUGAGAGGAUGAUCAGCCACACUGGGACUGAGACACGGCCCAGACUCCUACGGGAAGCAGCAGUGGGGAAUAUUGGACAAUGGGGGAAAGCCUGAUCCAGCAAUGCCGCGUGAGUGAAGAAGGCCUUAGGGUUGUAAAGCUCUUUCGACGGGGAUGAUGAUGACGGUACCGGGAGAAGAAGCCCCGGCAAACUUCGUG